rnacentral:snoRNA from 1 species
GUGUACUUGAUGAACGCUUUCCACAGCUUUUUAAGAUCCGGCGAUGAUUUCUUCGGAAAUAUGUGCCUGGAUAACAUCAUGCAUCACCAUCUGAUACGUAUAC